GGGUCGUUAGCUCAGUUGGUAGAGCAGUUGGCUUUUAACCAAUUUGUCGCAGGUUCGAGCCCCGCACGACCCACCA
rnacentral:tRNA from 1 species